CCCCUAGAUGUUCUGGGCCGCACGCGCGCUACACUGAACAGUUCAACAAGUCUUAACCUUGGCCGAUAGGUCUGGGUAAUCUUUGAACGCUGUUCGUGAUUGGGAUAGACCUUUGCAAUUAUGGGUCUUCAACGAGGAAUUCCUAGUAAACGCAAGUCAUCAGCUUGCAUUGAUUACGUCCCGGCCCUUUGUACACACCGCCCGUCGCACCUACCGAUUGAAUGGUCCGGUGAAAUCUCGGGACGGCGGCUUGGUCGCUUGCGUCCGACUGCUGAAACUUGAUUAAACCAUAUCAUUUAGAGGAAGGUGAAGUCGUANCA
rnacentral:rRNA from 1 species